GGUUUUCUAAAAAUAUUUCUAAUUUCAGGUGGAGCGGGCUGGACGACGCUGAAGUAGUCAUCUUCGUCGGCCCCGUCACUGCGUACGCAUACUCCUUCAAUUUUUCCCUCCUACUGGUGUUGUGAUCUGGAGAAGCUCAAGUAGUCAUCUUCGUCCAUCACGUCACUGCAUACGCAUACGCCUCUGAUUUUUGACUCCUGUACGUAUGUACAAUAUUUUGGAAUGCAGCUCA